rnacentral:rRNA from 1 species
UACGUAGGGGGCUAGCGUUGUCCGGAAUCAUUGGGCGUAAAGCGCGUGUAGGCGGUCCGGUAAGUCCGCUGUGAAAGUCGGGGGGCUCAACCCUCGGAUGCCGGUGGAUACUGUCGGGCUUGAGUACGGAAGAGGCGAGUGGAAUUCCUGGUGUAGCGGUGAAAUGCGCAGAUAUCAGGAAGAACACCCGUGGCUAAGGCGGCUCUCUAGUACGGUACUGACGCUGAGACGCGAAAGCGUGGGGAGCGAACAGG